GGAUGCGAUCAUACCAGCACUAAUGCACCGGAUCCCAUCAGAACUCCGAAGUUAAGCGUGCUUGGCGGAGUAGUACUAGGAUGGGUGACCCCCUGGGAAGUCCUCGGUGUUGCAUCCC
rnacentral:rRNA from 1 species